CAUAAUCUACGCCAAUGGCAGUACAGGCCAGGUGUUGGAAGAUUUUAACUGUUGAUCAUAUCAAGCCGAGCUAACCACUGUUAAUGUAAGCUACAUCUAAAGUACAUAGAGCUGGAUACCAUUCAUAACAUCAAAUGGGGGUGCCUACGUGGGUGGGUGUUGUGUUGAAACUCCGUAUACGUGAAAGGGCCGGGUUGAGGCUUUGCACGCCAGCAAUGGAGAAGUUGCAUCAUCAGAUGAGCAGACAACUUCUUUCGUCAGUUGGAAUGUCGUCAUAAUUAUAGGCUAUAGCACAUACUUAAAAAAAGCCCAGCCCAUCCCGUUUCCCACACUUCUGAUUCCAGACCCGAGAAGAAGAGUUGAAGAAGAUCUCCAGAAGACUGCAGCUGUCUCACCGCGAACGUCCUGACAAGAAACUCGGUGAGUCAACACCAUGAGGCUGUUCGUCUGUAUGCUGCUUGUGACGAUGGUUUUCACCGCAGUGCUUAUUGACCACUCGGAGGGCUUCAUAGUGUUUGCUAGGCGCCGUCGAUCUAAGCUGGAAAAUGAAGAGCUGCCGGGGUACGAGAAAGAAACGAGGUCCCUCAUGGAAAUCCUGAAAGACCUGUUGGAUGACGUGGAUGAGCAGCUUGACGCACGUGCACAGGAGGUACGGGAUCCAGAGGAGCAAGAAGACGCCCUGAUGCGACGCUGACCCCUGUACCCGGCAUGGCAGCCUACCGGAUCAACGGAAGACCGGCGUUUCCAGUGAUGACCAAAAAAUAAACACUGGGUUGACAAAUAAAAGUCAUGAAAACGUUGA